rnacentral:rRNA from 1 species
UCCGUGCCAGCAGCCGCGGUAAUACGGAGGGUCCGAGCGUUAUCCGGAAUCAUUGGGNUUAAAGGGUCCGUAGGCGGGCCGUUAAGUCAGGGGUGAAAGUUUGCGGCUCAACCGUAGAACUGCCCUUGAUACUGGCGGUCUUGAGUCGUACUGGAGUAGGCGGAAUAUGUAGUGUAGCGGUGAAAUGCAUAGAUAUUACAUAGAACACCGAUCGCGAAGGCAGCUUACUAAGUACGUACUGACGCUGAUGGACGAAAGCGUGGGGAGCGAACGGGAUUAGAUACCCCGGUAGUCCACGCCGUAAACGAUGGAUACUAGCUGUCCGGGUCCUUGAGACCUGGGCGGCCAAGCGAAAGUGAUAAGUAUCCCACCUGGGGAGUACGUUCGCAAGAAUGAAACUCAAAGGAAUUGACGGGGGCCCGCACAAGCGGUGGAGCAUGUGGUUUAAUUCGAUGAUACGCGAGGAACCUUACCAGGGCUUAAAUGUAAGUUGCAUGGGGCAGAGACGCCCCUUUCUUCGGACUACUUACAAGGUGCUGCAUGGUUGUCGUCAGCUCGUGCCGUGAGGUGUCAGGUUAAGUCCUAUAACGAGCGCAACCCCUACCGUUAGUUGCCAUCAGGUCAAGCUGGGGACUCUAACGGGACUGCCGGUGCAAACCGCGAGGAAGGUGGGGACGACGUCAAAUCAUCACGGCCCUUACGUCCUGGGCUACACACGUGCUACAAUGGCCGGUACAGCGGGAAGCCACUGCGCAAGCAGGCGCGGAUCCACAAAACCGGUCACAGUUCGGAUCGAGGUCUGCAACCCGACCUCGUGAAGCUGGAAUCGCUAGUAAUCGG